rnacentral:rRNA from 1 species
UACGGAGGAUGCAAGCGUUAUCCGGAAUUAUUGGGCGUAAAGCGUCCGCAGGUGGUUUAUCAAGUCUGCUGUCAAAGCGCGAGGCUUAACUUCGUAAAGGCAGUGGAAACUGAUAGACUGGAGUGCGGUAGGGGCAGAGGGAAUUCCCAGUGUAGCGGUGAAAUGCGUAGAUAUUGGGAAGAACACCGGUGGCGAAAGCGGGUCUCUGGGCCGAUACUGACGCUGAGGAGCGAAAGCGUGGGGAGCGAACAGG